GCCCUCGUAGCUCAGCGGAUUAGAGCACUCCCGUCCUAAGGGAGGUGUCGCAGGUUCAAUUCCUGCCGAGGGCA
rnacentral:tRNA from 1 species